GAGAAUCAUGAGGGUUUAAACAAUUUCAGGACAAGGAUCUCUCAAUGAAUGGAUUGAGCUUUAGGGAGAAUGCUAAAGGUAAGGACCAACAAAUGCAUACAGGAAUAAAACCUUGACUACCCAAUGGUUCCCAAGUGCUUACUCCUAAUCAUCUAAACCCGGAUGAUCCCUAUGUCUACCCUUCAACAUCAAUCCUAUUUUUUUCUUUUUGCCUUAGAAGAAGUUUCUUAUCAAUACUAGUGGAUAGGGGAUUUCUUCUUAACUAUGUUUCUGUUUUCUUCUUACGUUAUAAGACAUCAAAACUUUUUCUCUUUCUUAACAUCCCAGAACCAUUCUCUGUAUAUCAUGCUAACCCCACAAAAAUCAAUCACUAGAUUAUAAACUUCUAGAAAACAUUCUCCUCCUAAGGACACAACUUUUUCUGUUUCUCUUUUUUCUUUCCACAAUCAUUCCAAUCCCAAACCCAAGUAAGAAUCCCGACCUAGUCCUAUCUGAUUUGAAAGUGAAAAUCAGAACUACUCAAGAUUUUAAUCAUGUCGGCUCAUACCUAACACGUUCUCCCCAAGCAUAAUCCGGUAAAAGACCUACCACUCAAAAAUUAUCAAUUGGCUUGAAAGAAAAGGAUAGGCUGCGGGUGUGGCAAACUGAUCAAAAUAAAGAUCAGCUACUUGGAUCAACAAGAGUGGUGAAAGGAGGAAGAUGAUCCAAAUAUGUAUAUAGUGACCAUGAGCAUGCAAGCAAAACACAACCAGAUAUUUGCAAGUCAAGAUUAAGUUCUUAUAGGAUAAGGAAUGAGAUCAUAUCACAACAUGUUUCAACCAAGUUCAAGAAUGCUCUUCAUGAAUUCCAAGUUUGUUUCAGACUUACUUCAAGUUCAAUCAUCAUGCAUCAAAAAGCUAACAAC
rnacentral:lncRNA from 1 species